AGAGCGUAGACCAAUGUGAACAGACCAGGGUAGACUAGUCCAGCCCCCUUCAAUUAGCCUGUCCUUACUCACUGAUGCCCUGCACCUGGCCUUUGAGCCCCUGUUCCUAGGGACCAGAGAAGGUGAGCUUGGCAACCCUUCUAUAAACAGAUACUUCGUGCCUAUUGGUGAGGGUGCUGUCCCUUCACAAACUGGCCAGUCUUUAUCUAGUUUCUGGAGCGAGCUGGGCUGCGGCUAGGCUCCGGCACUGUUCUGUUUUGAAAGGACAGAAGAGCAGGCAGCUGGAAAGGGGAGGGAGGCAAGGGGAGACCCACAGCUGAAAGCCUCUCAUGGGGCGCAAGGCUUCAGUCCUUGGGAGACCCUGGAGGAGUAUUUGAAGGGAUUGAAUUCAGGUCAUCCAGCCAAGAGGCAAGCACCUUUACCCGAGGAGCUCAUUGUAAGCAUCCUCAUCAAUUCCUCCUCAGAGGCCUCCUCAGAGAACUCUGUCAAACAAAUCUCUAUUAGCUGCUUUUUCUUGGUCUCAUUCGGAGCUGUUGAAGGUUUGGGGUGUACUAUGAGGGAAGCAGUCAGAGGGCAUCUCCACAGCAGGGGCUGGAGAAGGGGGAAUAGAUUGUCAACAAGUAACUGAACGCACGGGCCGUGUCAAGUUGACAUGCUAGGAAGGCAUAAUAGAGAAUAAAGGUUGAGGAAGGCGCAGAACUCAUACAAAGCGUGGGAAAGGGACGAGUCCAGGGCUGAAGAUCCACUCCCUCUCCAGGGCAUGAAAGGAGAUGCGCAAAGGCCCCGAGACACAAAGGAAAACAGACGGAGGAGUGACAGGAGGUUGGAGACAUGGGACACGGUAGUAAAGCCCUUGGGAUGGGAGCUCUGUGAGCUGCAUGAAUGGCACUGUGGAAGCUUAAAGAGUAGGUCGGGGGUAAGGUAUGUUUGCGCAUGCGCACCCUCAGGUUCGUGUAAAGAGUAGGUGGCACAGGAGCCAGAGUGGGCAAGGAAGAGCUGUAUAAAGACUUCUGCUGGUUUCCAGAAAACAAGGCGAUUGUGCCAAAGCUGGCUGUAUUGGAGCGAAAAAAAAAAAAAAAAAAAAAAAACGAAAAUUCUAGCUACCGUGGAGGUGGUGUGGACUGGGGUUUUUGAUGACGACUCUGGAAGGACAGGACGGUGGGGGGUUAGGUACGACAGCUUGUUGUGAGGAUGAGGAUGCUAAGAACCUAGGGAUGGAGCAGGCCAUCCUGUUGCACAAAGCUUCCAGCGUGUUUAAUAUGAUCCUCGUUAAUAACUAGAUGUGAUUUUCACUCAUAUCUUCUGCUAACUUAAUUUUAGAGUACACAGGUGUGGUGUAUAUGUAUGUUUGUGUGAGUUUAUUUGUACCGUGUGUGCAGGAGCAAUGGAGGCCAAAAGGGUAUCGGAGACCGUGGAAACGGAGGUACAGAAGGCUCUGAGCUGCCACAUCGGUGCAAGGGUCCUCUCCAAAGACAGGAAGCACUCCUAAAAGCAUUGCGCCAUCUCUCCAGCCUCCAUGUUAACUUUUGUGAUGGGGGAGUGGCAUUUAAUGUUAUGAAUGCCAUUAUAAGUGAGGAUGAAUGCAAAUGAAGGCCUGGGGACUUCCUCAAAGGAAGCACCAGGGGUAGGAAACCGAACGUGGGAAGUUGGAAAUGCAGAACAAAAGGCCUUGGGGGUCAGGGUUUUUUUGUUUGUUUGUUUUUACCUUGCAUUCUGAUUGGUACAGAGUGGCUUGGAUUGCACUGAGGCCUCUGAGGAAUUUAUGUGACAUUUCCCAUAUUGGCCAUUAGGAGGAGCUCUGGACGGCUAAAUAGCGGUGCCGGGCACAGAUUUGCAGACCUGGUUCCAGCUACCCAGUGCCCUGCUGCAAUGGGGGAGAGGGAUAGGCCAGAAGAGGGUGUCGGGACGCUGAGCUCUGUUAGGUGGCCACGCUUCUCUGCGCAGCUCCUUUGGCCCCUUUCCUCUGGCUCUCAGCCUCGCCAAGAACAUUGGCUGACCCGGGAGUGGGGGUGGGAGGGUGGGACCGUGGGUUUGCGGAGGAUUGCGAAAGCCGAGAUCCAAGGUGCAGAACUGCAGGCUGGCGAGUGACUCAGCAGCCAGCAGCCAGCCCCCUGCCUAUCUGUCCUUCCUGAGCAGUGGUUCUCAACCUUCCUAACGCUGCGACCCUUUAAUACACUUCCUCGGGUUGUAGUGACCCCACACACACACACACACCAUAAAACUAUUUUCGUUGUUACUUAAUUGUAAAUUUUUGCUACUGUUAUGAAUUGUAAUGUAAAAUAUCUGUCUUAGGCGGGUCUUUCAACUCCCAGAGGAGUCACGGCCCAAAGAUUGAGAACCACUGCUCCUGGAUCACGGCUUUAAGUUUUCCUAACUCCUCACUGGGAUGUAAGAUGUCUCCUCACAGGAGAGGGCUGCUAGCUCAGCUCCCCUCUCCAAGGCAAGGGUCACCUGACCACCAGGUGCUGUCCUGGCUCUCAGCUUCCUUGUUCUUGGCCAUGGCUCACUAUUUAAAAUUCACUUCCUUUUUUAGCUACUUCCUUUACUACCUGUUCCCACCCCACCUUCCCACCAAGAUACAAGUAGGCCAGGCGGAGCAUGGAGUGGCUGGACACAGCCCUGGGUUCUCAGCUCCAUUUGGACUUGAGAUAAGCCACAUCCUUCCUUAAACUUUAAACAUAUUUUUAUGUUUAUUUGUGGUGUAUGUGAGAGUGAGCAGGUGGCCACAGGCCUCUGUUCCUGUGGAGGUCAGAGACAGCCUGUGAUGUGGGAUGUCCUUAUAGUUUCUGUGUGAUUAUUCGGAUCUGGGCAGCAGGGAAACCAAAGAACAAUCUCCACUUACAAACCUGCAAGGAUGUCUUCUUCCAGAGACAAGCCGGGAGUCCAUACCUUUACCUGCUGAGCCAUCUCCCGGGCCCCACCCCAUAUAUAUAUAUACUAUGAGUAUGUCUAAUGUAUUGUUUGGGAUAUACUUAUGCUACAAAGUAUAUGUUGUUUUAAUGAAGUUACAAUUUCACUGGGUGUUUUUAUUUUUACCGCUAACUGCAAUCCUCUAAGGGAAGGCCCUUGCCCACCGUCUUCCUUGCUCAAUCUCCAGCCUCCACAAUAACGGUGCUGAUAAAGCUGAAUGCUUGGAUAGGUGGAUUCCUUCAAUCCUUCCCUCGUUUCCUCGGCCAACCCAUUUAUUUUAAGCACCACUGGGUCCCUGAAAAACAGUGAUGAGCAGGCAGUACAAAGGAGGAGGGAGUCGCCAUCUGAUUAGACUGUGGUAAAUACUGUGCAAAACUCUGGGGUUGUGAAGGGACAGAGGAGGAGUCCCUAAGCCCACCCAGGUCAUCAGGCCUUUUAUGGAGAAAGAUGACCAAGACAAGUGGGACCCCCAGCCCUGUCAGAGAGUAGGGCAAAGGCCUGGGGCUCUGCAGGUGGCUGAGGAGGGAGUGUCAUCCAGCCACUGGGUGUCACUACCUACCAGCGGACUCCCGGGUGAUGCCAGGGUGGCUUUACUGUACUCAGCUUACAUAUGGGGAAACUGAGGACAGGAAGGGAUAGACUGGGAAGGGAAAGUGGAGCUUCGAGCUCACGUCUAAGAGACUCAGAAGGGAGCCUGCGCUCUUCUAGAAAAAGCUACUGUGCUGAGGACCAGAGCCCCAAAAGGAGGACAAGGAUCCUGGCGCUCAGAGGGGUAAAGGACUCUUUCUACAAAUGUGUUGGCUCCCAGUGUAGCAGGAGACGUGAAGAGACAGCAGGAGGUCUUAGUGGGUCCCCAAAGGCAGCUUCUGUGCUUCUCAUUUCUAUGUAGGUUGGGACUUGAGGUUACUCCCAUGGGUUCUGGAAAGGUCUUUGGUCUCCAUGGUGACCACUUCCCACCAUCCCCGAAAUCUCAUUGUGACCAGUAUUAAGGGAUUAACUAGUCCGCAGCCCUCCCAGGGUCUUGGGUGCCAGAGAGGCAGCAGGAAGUGGUUCAAGGAUGAGGAGGUUGCCCACCGUUUGUGACCCCAUAGGACCAGGAAGAGGAUGUCGGACGGGGGCCAGGGCUUUCCCCAGGACCCACCAGGUAUGCUCCUGAGUUCACACCUGUCUAGAAGGAAGCUCAGGGUGGUGGGAGAGAGACGAGGAACUCGGGGAGAAGUCCAGAAUUCAGGGUAUGUGGGAAACUUUAGCCCCAGCUCAGGAAGGCCGAAAGCCCUAAUAGGAGAUGGACAUUUGAUCAAAAUAGGGUUCAGAGCCCCUCAACAAGAGACUCUUAGGGGAUACUCCAAGGCUAAUCAACCAUGUAAUCUUCAUUUUUUCAGUUGGGGAAACCGAGACAGAAAGAGAGGAAAGUGAGUUUCUCAAAGUCAGUAAAGUAAAACAGGUGAAUAAUUCAGAGGAGACCUCAAAGUAGCCUAAACAGAACACUGGUCAAAAAAGAAACUAACAAAGCCCCUGUCACAUUGCUCCCUCUGUGCCCAGAAGCCUGAAGCAGCCUGUCUCACAGCCCCGCUUUCUUCCCUUCUUAUUGCUUUCCUUUGCUGACUUCCCCAGUCAUAAAACCACUCAAUUGAAGGCUGGCAGAGAGUUCUAGACAGGCUCCACAGUGCUAGGGGACUUGACCACAAAGCCCUGACCAUGCCACCGAAGGGACGGCUAGUCUCCGGGUCCCGAUUUUGAUGGCUUGUUCACCCUUUAGCCUCUCUGGGGAUGUCCUGGCAAUCCAGCAACCAGGAAGGAAAUGUCAGGCCCAGGGACUCCCCAGGAACUUAGUUGGUGGUGUGCUUGUCUACUGGGAAUGAAGCUCUGGGUUCCAUCCCCAGCACUGUGUAAACCAGGCGGGAUGGUGCACACCCGUAAUCCCAGGUACAGGCAGGAGGAUGGGAAGUUCAAGGUCAUUCUCCACUAGAUACCAAGUUUAAGGCCAGACUAAGCUACCUGUAUGAAACUGUGAGAAAAUAAAAACCAGAGAUUCGGCGCCCCAGGAGACUAAGUGUCCUCGGCUGAGCUUCUCCUUGGCCAAGGCUUGCCCUAAUGGUGUCAGGUGACCUACAGACCACCACAGAAAGCGAGAAGAGCCCAGUGCGGAGCAGUGCAGGAGGCUGAGUGACAGCGCGGGGUCUGUGCAAGCUCCAGGAAGACAAGGAAAAGUAAGAAACGGCCAGGAUGGUGCAGAACCCAGGAGGUGACGAACAGAGCCCAGGGAAGCAAGGCUUCUCAGCAGGGGCCUACUUAUAUCUGGAUUUAGAGCCAUAGCAAUGUAGCAAGGACUAAAGACUAAAAACUUUAACAAAUGGGGUAAAAUAGUAAAUAAUAAUAACAACAACAACAUGCACCUCCAUGACAACGGGUGUGCAGCCAAGAUUGCGGUGCACGUCCUAGGAAUUAGCUCCUGUCAUUUCAUCCUUGACCUGGAAGCCAAUAUGGUGUUGCCAAUAAUAACAGCAAAAGCCAUUGGUACCUGGAAUCGGAGCUGUCUGCAAACUGGAGACAGAGCCAGGUGUGGUGUAAACACCACCCAUGAGUCAGCGGUUCUGACUUUGUGAGCAGUUAUCCCCUGACCCACCUCACAGGUAGAGAAACUGAGCCUCACCAUAGGUUUGAGUCAUACAUCGUCAAACCUGGACCCACAUUAAAGCAUUUCAAGCUCCCAGUGGCCCCACAGAAGUUCUGAAUUAUGGCCGCCCACCAGACUUCUCUGGGGAUUUCCAACACCUAGCACUGUGCAUGUGACGCCAGAUUUUUGUUUUGGGAUAAGAGUGUGGCUACAUAGCUCAGGCUAGCGCCUUCCACUCACCAGGAUGUAGCUCAGGUUGGCCCGGAAUUUCGGAGCCUCUUGCUGCGAUUACAGGUAUGUGCUGCCUUGCCUACCUGACUAUCCAACCCCAAGAUUUGUCUGUCGGUUUGUGAUAGGACUUGGGAAUCUUUGUUUCAUCUUUCUUUUAUUCUCCAUGCAGUGCUGGGGAUGGAACCCAGGGCCUGUCACAGGCUAGACCAGCAUGCCACCCCUGAGCACAAUCCCUUCAAAACCAGGGUGGGAAACCCUUCUAUAGUCUCAGGUGAGCCCCGCAGUGGUGGCACAUGCCUUUAAACCCAGCACUUGGGAGGCAGGCAGAUCUCUGAGUUCGAGGCCAGCCGGGUCUACAGAGCGAGUUCCAGGACAGCCAGGGCUACACAGAGAAACCCUGUCUCGAAACCAGAACAAUCUCAGGUGGUUCCAUUUCAUUAUCUGGACUGAAAUUCUGCUAGGUUUCCCAAAGUGAGAAACCAGGGCCAAGGAGAGCAAUGGCCUUUUCCCUGAACCACGUACGACUAAAAACAAAGCCGGGACCAGGCAGUCAAUGACUUUCAUGGAACUUAUGUUCAAAGAAGUGGAAACCCCUCCUGCUAAGUCAGGCCCUGGGGCUUUGGAACUAGGGCUUGGUUUCCACCCCUUACCCCAUCCCCCACCUCAGCCCUCUUGCCUAGAACAUUUGUGCAAUGAACAGCCCGUACACAGUGAUCCUGGCCUGUCUCAAAAUUCCCAAAUACUUACUUUACCCUGAUAACCUGAGACAAAUCCCCGGGACUCCCUCCGGACCAAAGUCAGGGGGAUUAAGGGUGACUUCUGAAUGGCAGAAUCAUUUCUCAUGCCCCCCAAAACCACGACUUGGGCUAUCAGAGGCUCCCCAUCACCCCUUAGGCCCUACAAAGGUUAAGGUCACCUCACAGAACACAAACAGGACAGUGACACCCUCAGCCCACAUGUCAUAAGCCACCUGGCAGUAGGCAAACAGCCCACAGGAAACACCACCCACGGGACCCAAUCCUGGCCUCUUUCCUGAUCGUUGCUGACCAUCCACUUCUCAGACCUCCUAAACCUACCCCAUCCGCAUCUCCCACAGUGCACUGCUUUCUGCUCACAGCUGCUUCCCCGUCCUUAUCCUGCCCGCCUUCCCUGGGUACUUACUAUAUCCAGGAAAGUCUUCUAAGGAUGGGGUGGUUUGGGGACCAGGAAUACAGGUUCUGGAGUGAGUAUGAAUUUGAGUCCUACAUUUUAUUUCCUAUCAACUGUGUGAGCUUGGGCGCAUGACUCAACGUCUCUGGGCCAGCUGCUUUACAAACCGCUGAUAAAAAAAAAAAACACCCCAGCCCCAGAUCAGUGCGAGGAUUCAUGAACGAAGCCCCCUGAUACAAAUGUCUGCACAUUGGCUCUGUGUGUCUUUGACACUAUUUCAUCCUCAUGGGAGAAAAUUAAAAUGUAGGCAUUUUCUCAAUUCAGAAGGGAAGAAACAGAAGCUAAAGGGUCUAGACAGUCAGGGAAGUGUUCUGGGUUCCGUGUCUUUUCUCUAGGGAUCUGAUGCUUCCAGAGAUGAGAUACAGUCAAAGCUAGGAGCUGCCUCUACUUCACACACCUGCUGCAGGGACUACUCACAGGCCUGCAGGACACAGAUGACAUCCCCUGACUUAGCCGCUGGUAGCUCUCAGAGAUCAGUCAGCAGAGGGGAAGCCCCUUGCCCUUGAAGUCCUUCAACACAACACUCAGGCCCUAGGAGACCCAGGCUAUCAAAAACAGCCUGUUCUUAGAAAGAUGCACCCCCUUUCUUUCUCUGUUUCCCUAUCUGCUGGGUCUGGGCCAGGGUUUUCUUGGCUUGAAAAUGAACUGUUACCAUCUCUUCUGAUGCCUGGUGGUGGUGGCACAGCCUUUAAUCCCAGCCCUUGGGAGGCACAGGCAGAUGGAUCUCUGUGAGUUCAAGGCCAGUCCGGUCUACGGAGUGUGUUCCAGGACAGCCAGGGCUACACAGAGAAAACCUGUCUCAAAAAACCAAAACAAACCAAAGGAUCUCAUCUAAGAAGGCACCAUCUGGUCCCCUCUGGGCUCCUGGGAACCCCAGGAUCCAACUUGAAAGCCUCCUUUGCGUCCCACCGAAGAUUCCCUGGCUGGGACAUUAGAACCAAAAUCUGCUGCUUCACAUCCCCCUUCGGAUGCUUCCCGCUGCCUUUAUCUCCCUGCGGUAACAGAGCAAAUAUGCUCAGGCCCCAGAGCCGGGGCACAUGCACGCUGUUGACUCUUGAGCAAAGCCACCCCUCCGGAGGGCGCAGCGGAGGCUGUUGGAGGUGUGUGGAGAGGCCAGUGGCCUCUUGCAUAACCUAGGAGGCCUCCUGCCCACCCCGGGCCUUUUCAGGGUUAGGGAUGAGGCAAACCGCAAACUCAUGCCCAGUUAAUUUUUUAAAGCAAGACCAACAGACUCAGCAAUGAUUAGCAGACGGAGGCUGCCACUCCUUGAGCUGAGGCCUGGCCGCUCAACAAGAAAGGACAGAGGUGACGAACAAGUCCCACACUGAAGAUCUCCGUCUCUACACGAUGUGUCCCGGCCAACCCUAGUUGAUCAUAGACUGUGUUUAAUGGACUCUACAUUGUCAUCUAUAAAAAGACCCAUUGUUGGUUUGUUAACCCAAUAAAAUUCUGAC